AUGAAAGCGGCGGACGGGUGAGUAACGCGUGAGUAACCUGCCCCAUACACAGGGAUAGCCAUUGGAAACGAUGAUUAAUACCUGAUAACACAUAAGAAUCACCUGGUUUUUAUGUCAAAGAUUUAUCGGUAUGGGAUGGACUCGCGUCUGAUUAGCUAGUUGGUGAGGUAACGGCUCACCAAGGCGACGAUCAGUAGCCGACCUGAGAGGGUGAUCGGCCACACUGGAACUGAGACACGGUCCAGACUCC
rnacentral:rRNA from 1 species